AUCAUCAGUUUUAGGAUCCCACAGACACCUGCUUGCGAAUUGAAAGCCUUGGUCCUUGGAUUCUCCAACAACUGAUUGCACUACGAUCCUGUAUCUUUGAUAGCCCAAAUCUGCACAUCAUCAUCAUCAUCACCUGAUUAGCCUCUGCCAGCGUCUAGAAUUCGGACGAUGGAGAGUAGAGUUUGCAGAUUGGAAGGCAAGGGGUGAGGAGCAACCUCGAACCUCAUUCUUGACGUGGUCUGCAAUUUCCCGCGCCAUAGCAGGUGCCGUCUCAAAAUCGUAGGCUGGCAAUGGUCCAAGCUUCUCUUUCAGUAUUCUCUCGAUGAUUUGUCUCACUUUUUCUGGCUGGAAGCGAGCAUUAGGAGCAUAGGGCAACUCGGAAUGGACUUCCACCUGGAGCAUAGCACACUAUUAUUGGCGCAUUGGAAUUCAUUUCAAUUUCAGGUUAAAUUCAUCAGAACGUCCACUCUAAAGGGUAGUUGGCUCCUGCCGAAACCCUAAAGUUUUGAAUGUGUUUGAAUGGACUCGUAAUUGUCGACAGCAGGACAUGUUUUGCAUCACAUGUCCUGCAAAAUGUUGAUGAAUGAGUGUUAUCUUGUAACCCA